rnacentral:sRNA from 1 species
GUAGAAGAAGAAAUCCAGACUCUGUCUCAAGUGUUAGCAGCAAAAGAGAAGCAUCUAGCAGAGAUCAAGCGGAAACUUGGAAUCAAUUCUCUACAGGAACUAAAACAGAACAUUGCCAAAGGGUGGCAAGACGUGACAGCAACAUCUGCUUACAAGAAGACAUCUGAAACCUUAUCCCAGGCUGGACAGAAGGCCUCAGCUGCUUUUUCGUCUGUUGGCUCAGUCAUCACCAAAAAGCUGGAAGAUGUAAAAAACUCCCCAACUUUUAAAUCAUUUGAAGAAAAGGUCGAAAACUUAAAGUCUAAAGUAGGGGGAACCAAGCCUGCUGGUGGUG